GACGGUUUGGCCGAGUGGUCUAAGGCGCCAGAUUUAGGCUCUGGUCCGAAAGGGCGUGGGUUAAAAUCCCACAGCCGUCA
rnacentral:tRNA from 1 species